GACGAACGCUGGCGGCGUGCCUAAUACAUGCAAGUAGAACGCUGAAGGGGGAGCUUGCUUCUCUGGAUGAGUUGCGAACGGGUGAGUAACGCGUAGGUAACCUGCCUGGUAGCGGGGGAUAACUAUUGGAAACGAUAGCUAAUACCGCAUAAUAGCAGUUAUUGCAUGAUAACUGUUUGAAAGGUGCAAUUGCACCACUACCAGAUGGACCUGCGUUGUAUUAGCUAGUUGGUGGGGUAACGGCUCACCAAGGCGACGAUACAUAGCCGACCUGAGAGGGUGAUCGGCCACACUGGGACUGAGACACGGCCCAGACUCCUACGGGAGGCAGCAGUAGGGAAUCUUCGGCAAUGGACGGAAGUCUGACCGAGCAACGCCGCGUGAGUGAAGAAGGUUUUCGGAUCGUAAAGCUCUGUUGUAAGAGAAGAACGAGUGUGAGAGUGGAAAGUUCACACUGUGACGGUAUCUUACCAGAAAGGGACGGCUAACUACGUG
rnacentral:rRNA from 1 species